UACAACUUUUUGUGCUUCCAUUGUCUUGUUGUAUUGUUAUUUAAGUUGUUCUUACCUGCUCUCUUCUUUAUUUUUUAAAUUAGUGUGCGUAACGUGAAAGAUUGGAUCUCUUGCUUAGUCUCUCUUUUGAGAGAGAAUACUAUAAAACUGUUAUGAUGCCUCAUUUAAUGUUGGUAAGAGAAUAUUGAUUAUUGGCUAAUACUAUUCUGUUCAAUCUCUGUAUGUGUUUGCAGAUAGUUGCAAGGUUUUUGUGGCAAGCUACAAUUAUUCAACUCUUGCAUGUAAGUUGUCAAAUGUGAAAUCUCUCUCCCAUGCUCCAUGUCAUUAUCAUUCAGUGCUAUUCCACCUCGAAUGGCAAUUGAUGUUCAUUAGGCUGCCAGAACUCUUAGCGUGCAAAAGUAGCAGGCUGCAUUUACUCCAGAUGGCUAUCUUGAUAUAGGCAGGACACUUAGUCAAAUACAAUGCGGGGUAAGAUUUCAUCUCCAUGGUUUCAACUACCAUCAAAAUAUUACCCAAGCAUGUAAGAUGCUUCACGUGGUAAGAUGCUUCUUGGAAUUAAUUGAUGUGCACUAAUUCUUUGUCUGCGUGAUCUUUGAUCAGUCCUCUUUCUUUUUUGUUUGAUGGCCGAGUAGUGUAUGAAUAUGGUAGAAUAAUUUUGCUCAAAACGGUAGAGUGCAUAUUGGCCAGUAACCAAAUAGCUAACAUUGCUGACUUGCAAGUUUGAGUUUACCAAAAGAUCGCAGAUCCAGAAUUUCUUCUUACAGCCUUUCUUAAUCAAUUAGGCUGAACUUCAUGCACCCAUACUCCUUUUUUUCAGUGUCAGAUAUUCCAAGUUUGGGGGUGGAUAGUCCUGUCAAUUGUUCAUUCACAUCUUGUGUAUCAUAGUCCUUGUGUACACUAUAAAAUGCAAUCCAGUUCCCAGCUAACUGGGGUUGGAUGCUGCCAUGAUAACAAAAUGAACUUUACCUGGCCAUUCACUAUAUGAUAUUCCAAAUAUGCACUAAAGGCAUAAAAAUAAACUAAUUGGUUUUGCUUUGCAAAUGAAUAAUGCGAUAUGCCACUUGGUGCUUCUUAUUCCUUCCACCAAAUAUUACCAUUUGUUUUGGGGAUUGACGCGUCAUAAUGUAAUCGUGGCAAAAUUAAGGGAUCCAUCCUUCAAUCAGAGGUGAAAUUUGGGAGUUUCUACUUGGUUGUUUUGAUCCCAAGAGCAUAUUUGAUGAAUGAGAGCAAAUACGGCAACAUCGAAGGUAGUUGGCUUUCCUCGCUUCACUUUCAUGCAUUAAUUCCUGCUAGAUAUUAUUAGGAACAUCAUUCGUCACUAUCAGGAUUUUGGGUCAUUUUAGGCUUUGUUAGAUUUCAAAAGAAUAUGCCGACCCUCCAAACUUUUAAUAUAGGCAGAAUAUUAACUUCUAUCCUAGGAUUAGGUCCUUUGAGCGUUGGAGAUGAUGUCUGUACAGGGUCAUUCGUGGAUGAAUGAUUAGGUCAGUUUGGUGGUCAGUUCAGUUCCAGGAAAAUGGUAAAUUUUAUAGAUCCACUGGGAAAUUAGGUUGUUCGUUAAUUUUUACCGUGUUUGCGCUAUGCGUCUCUCCUUAUUGUGUUUUGCCGAGAUUUAUGUUUAUAUUAUUCGCUUUCAUUUUCCGUAGUAAUAAAUAUGAUGAAACCUCCCCAAAUUGUUUUGUGAUUGAUUCCCUCUUUUCCAUGUCCCUGCCAAAGUUGUUAUCUGUGCGUUGUUUCACGGUUGAGAUAAGAUUUGGCAUCAUUCUUGUGCAUGUAGAGGCACAUCCAUUUGUUAUUUUAUAGAUUGCUCAUGCAGGCAAGGUAGUUUGUCUUGCUGUCGUUUCUACCAAUAGGAAUCAUGCGACAUAUAGGCAUUCACUAUUGUGUGGUCGUAGUAGGCUGCUAUCGGGUUUUGUUCCAUUUUUUCAAGAAACACCAGCUCCGCCUCAUAUGCUCGCUCUCUGAGGACCUUAUUGAUGUGAAAGGUGUUUUGUGUGGUUACCCCUGUUGCUCAUUAAUAGUGACUGUUGAUAUUGGGUUUCUUUUUGGUUUAGUAAAUGUGUGUUUUGGUGCUAUUGGUGUGAUUAAGUCCCAUAGGAAAUUUGGAAACUUGAAAGGAGUUUGUAUUAUGUAAUCUCACUAAAUGUUGUUCGAUUUAGCUUUGGUUUGAUUUUUGGUAGUGUUCUUGUGUGCGAAAUGGUGUUACAUGU